GACGAACGCUGGCGGCGUGCUUAACACAUGCAAGUCGAACGGAAAGGCCCUGCUUUUGUGGGGUGCCCGAGUGGCGAACGGGUGCGUAACACGUGAGUAACCUGCCCUUGACUUUGGGAUAACUUCAGGAAACUGGGGCUAAUACCGGAUAGGAGCUCCUGCUGCAUGGUGGGGGUUGGAAAGUCUCGGCGGUUGGGGAUGGACUCGCGGCUUAUCAGCUUGUUGGUUGGGUAGUGGCUUACCAAGGCUUUGACGGGUAGCCGGCCUGAGAGGGUGACCGGCCACAUUGGGACUGAGAUACGGCCCAGACGCCUACGGGAGGCAGCAGUGGGGAAUAUUGCACAAUGGGCGGAAGCCUGAUGCAGCAACGCCGCGUGCGGGAUGACGGCCUUCGGGUUGUAAACCGCUGUCGCCUGUGACGAAGCGUGAGUGACGGUAAUGGGUAAAGAAGCACCGGCUAACUACGUG
rnacentral:rRNA from 1 species